rnacentral:rRNA from 1 species
AAUGGCUGCAGUAAUAUAACUGUACAAAGGUAGCAUAAUCAUUAGUUUUUUAAUUAAAAGCUUGUAUGAAAGGUUGGACGAAGUAAAAUCUGUCUCUUUUUAAUGUAAUUAGAAUUUAAUUUUUAAGUAAAAAAGCUUAAAUUUGUAUAAAAGACGAGAAGACCCUAUAGAGUUUAAUAAUUUAUUUUAAAUAAUUAAUUUAGAUUUAUUUAUUUUAUUUUUUAUAAAAUUAUUUUAUUGGGGUAAUAAAAAGAUUAGUAUAAUUCUUUUUUUUAUUUUACAUUAAUUUAUGAAUUUAAUGAUCCAUUUUUUAUGAUUAAAAGAUUAAAUUACCUUAGGGAUAACAGCGUAAUUUUUUUAAAGAGUUCAUAUCGAUAAAAAAGUUUGCGACCUCGAUGUUGGAUUAAAGAUUAAUUUAGGUGUAGAAGUUUAAAUUUUUGGUCUGUUCGACCAUUAAAUCUUUACAUGAUCUGAGUUCAAACCGGUGUAAGCCAGGUUGGUUUCUAUCUUUAUAAGAUUUUUAUAUUUUAGUACGAAAGGACCAAAUAUUUAAUAUAUAAAUAUUUUAUUAUUUUGAAUAU